rnacentral:lncRNA from 1 species
GGAGGAAAGGAACAAAAAAACAGGAACCCUAGGUGGGAAAAUUGAAGAAAAAGUGUGAGAUUUCAAGGGAUUAAGCAAUCAAAGGUAAAAUUUUUUUAUUUUGACUUGUGAUCUACCUUUCCCAUGCAUUUCUCCUUAUUUUUCAUGGUUAGAUUUCAUGUUUUCAUGGUGAAUUCAUGGCUGGUCAAAAUGGGUAUGGAGAGAGAAAGAUCUUAGAUUGAUUUGAUUUUAAGUUAUGUUAGUGUUUUUAGUUAGUUUAGCAUAUUUAGAAACAAAACAAUAAGAAAAGAAUUCAUUUUCCCCAUCAACCAUCAAUGGUCGAAUUUCCUAGAGAGGAUAUUGUGGCUGAAAUUGAUGAUAUUUUAUGAUAUUUUGGUGAUAUUUGAUGUUUGGUGAGGCUAGAAACUAAAUGGAAAAUUUUGGUGUGAAAAUCUGAAUUUUUACCUAAUGUAUAGACAUGUGUGAUUAUUGAUCCGGGACUAAUAAAUUGAAUCUCAUUCGCAGUCACUGAGGUGAUUUAGGUAUUAUUGAAGUGUAGAAAGUGAAAGAAAUUGAUUUGGAGUUAAAUUGGAAGUUUUAACCAAUUACACCGAGAAUAGUACGAAUUAGGUCGAAUACCGUAUUUAAACGGCUAUUCGGACAUUUUGCAUCACAUUUCGUGCAUUCAUAUAGAUUUAUAGAGCCUAAAAUAGUUUAUGAUAAAUUGACACAAUUUAUUAAAAUUUGUGUCACGUAUGUUGUAUAAGUAGUGAGCCAUCUAAUAAGGGUAAAGAGAUUGUGCCUGAAGACCGAGAAUAAGAGUAUAUCGAACUCCUAGUACUGUGAGCAACCUUAUCAUCAUUUUAAUUAUCUAAAGUAUGUUUUUAAUCGGUUUUGGUGGAAUUUUAUGAAAAUGAGUUUAAAUGGUAAAUUUUUGAUUUUAUAAAUAAAAUAUGUUUAAAUAAAAUGAUUUUAUAAAUUGUCUUGAAAUGAAAUAACGAUUUUGAAAAAUAGAGUAAUUGGAUACCACUGGUAUGUUGUAAAUUUAUGAUUGGAAUUGAUGGCUUAUGUUAAUGUGUUGGCAUGACUGGCUGGGCUGUGUUUUAUGAAUUAUAUGAAUUGCUUUAUUUUACCCUUGCAGGUUGGGUAGUAAUAUAUUAGCCCUGUCAUGCUGUCAAAAUUUUAUUGUAUGGUGGGUGUAGCUUACUGUAGUAGGCUGAUUUUCGUGGACUAGCCUAUUAGAGAGGCACGAUAAACCCCGUUAUAUUUUAUCUCAAUUGGAGAGGCGAGUAGGGUAACUCCCGAGGUAUAACUUUUAGAGUUCACUUCACUCCAAACCACCACUUGAGGGGGAACUCGGCCAACACCAAGGAAUGACUAUGUUUUCAAAAUAAAAACAUGAUUUAUGCGUACAUGACUUUCUAAUAGCCUUAGCGGACUCAAUUGAGAUAGCCCUCGACCAAGGUAUCCCAAAUAAUUGAGUAUGAUAAUAAUUUUUGGCAUGAGCCAAGCUUUUAAAAAAUUCAUGAGCCAUACUGAUUACUUGAUUUAAAUAAAUUGAUUUCAUUUUGUUGAAAUAAGUUGAAAGAUGAUAAAUUACAGUUUGAUGAAAUGUUUUAAUAGUCUCUUUUUACUCACCUUUAGAUAUUUUAAAUGAUAUUUGUUUACUCAUUGGGAUUUCAUAAUCUCACCAUCCUCCUUUCUACCCAUUUAAGGCUCAGAAUAGAUUGUAGAUAACUGAUAUCGGCGAGGACUACAGUUGGACUUGCCACAUCCAAAAACUGUAGGUUCAUUUCUUUUGAUACUUUUAGUUAUUCGUGGGCCCAUGUGUUACUGUAAAUUAAAUUUUAUACUUUGGUUAUCUGUAUUACAAUAUAUAUGAAUUUAUUUUACUUUUUUGCUGUAAAAAUUAAUUAUGCAAUGUUCUAAAAAUAUUGUUUUAUGAGAAAAUUGAAUAUUUUAUUCUAUAUCUUUAAUAUAUUCAAAUAGUUAUAAUUUCAUUUUAAAUGAAAGUUUUAGAUAUUUAAAUUUAUUUUUUAUUAUGAAUUAUGUGUUUUAUACUUGCAUACUAUAUUUUUAAUUGGUUUCGAAACUUUUGAGAAAAAAUGACCAAAAUGCCCCUGUGAGACAUAAAUCAUUUUUUUAUUGAUUUCAGUUGGAUAUAGCUUAAAUUCUUUUAGAACAUGAUAUUUGGUAACGGUUGCUCACCGGGGAAAAGAGAAACUAAUAUUAAAGCCUUGCGGGGUUCCGGUUGACAUUUAGAAUAAUGAGUGUCGAUUGGGACAACGAGACGAUUGUCACGGGCUCGAGGAGAGUACCGGGUCAUGACAAUAUUAUUUCAGCACAUGUUACACAUUUACUAAAACAUACAUUUUUAAUACUAGAAAUUAAACUUAGUGAUUGCAUUUUCUUAAUAUAAGGAAUGAUAACAUGUCCUAAUCUAUCACGCUAUAAAUUAAUUGAGUCAAUCAUGUAAGCAGAAGACCUAGCAUUUUCAUUCAUAACAUUGGCAAUGUUAAAUACAAAAAGUCCCUGAUUACAAUAUCCCUUAUCCAUAAACACAUUUUUUUUUUUGUCAUUACAAUCUUGUCAGAUUCGGAUGACACUUUCAUCACAACCUUGCCCAACAAAACCACAGAAACCAAGUUUGCCCUUAUAUUAGGAACAUGGAGAACAUCAUUUAGAGCUAGGGUCUUGCCAGAUGUGAGCUUGAGAAGGACUUUCCCUUUACCUAGAAUUUGAGUGGUUCAAGAAUCACUAAGAUAUAUUAUCUCUUCUAUUUCCUUUACUGGAGUAUAAGAGGUAAAGGCAUUUUUGUUUGCAUAAAUAUGCCUAGUAACACCUAAGUCUACCACUCAUUCCUUCACACUGGCCACCAUAUUUGCUUGAGAAAUUAUCGUAGCAAUUAUUUUAUCAGAUUCAUUUGCUUCAACCAAGUUAACUCUUGGAUUAGUAAGUUUAUCAUUUCUCUUUGCUCUUUGAAUUUGAUUUUUUUUAUAUAGUUUUAUUGAAUUCAAAUGGGAGGUUGUUUGCUUAUUUACAUUAAAUAUCCUAAGUAAAUGGAGAGCAAAAAGGAAAGAAAUAAAAAUAAGGACAUUUACUUAAUGGUAUUAAAUGUAAAUAAGCUUAGGACAUACUAAGGACAUCCAAAUUGCAUUCCAAGUAGAAUCUAUCGAUAGAUUAUGAAUAUCUAUCGAUAGAUUAAACCCAAAAAAGGGUUUUGAUGAACAUCUAUCAAUAGAUAGGUUCUAGAACCCAAUUUAUCGAUAAAUAGCCAAAUUUGUCGAUAAAUGAUGUAAAUUUUUUAAAAGAAAAGAGGGCAAAUGAGUAUUUUCACACUUCAAAGUAUAAUAUGACCUAUUCAAAGAACCUUUUUCAUUCCCAAUUGUUUUCAUCAAUUUUCUCUUAAUUGUAAGCUUAAGUACAUUGAGUUCCACAAGAUUAGAGAGGACAAAAGACUCAAUAUGUCACGGGCUUGGAACUUUAGCCAAGUUCCGUGCAACGUUAUUGUCUUGUGUUCGUACGAUUAUGCAAGCCUUAACGUGGUUUCUUGAGUAUUGGCACAAAAGCGUAAAGUAAAGAAAUAUGGAUAAAGAGAUUGGAGAGAAUAAAUAAGUAUUAUUACUCCAAUGAGAAAAAAUUAAAAUACGUAAGAUCUAAGUAUAAAGUAAAUUGCUUGAUAAUAAGACUCGACAAUUUGAUGCCUUACAAAAAUUCACUAAGGUGCUAAUAAUCUACUUGACCUUAAACCUGGUGUGCAAGUAAAUUAAAUUUACAUGAAAAGAAAGUCUUAAAAUUAAGCUUACUUGGUGAGCAAGUAAUCUCACAACUAAGGAAAAUUGGCAAGUAUUCUAGGAUCCCUAGAAACUUGCUUGGCUACUAAGUUGGCUGCAUUAUGCCUCCAUGUGCAGGCUGCUAUUGCUACUACGUGCGAACUGAGGAAGCGUUUUACUGGUUUGGUGCGGAUGGCUUGCUUGCAGGUAACCCAUAUUUCAGCAAAGCUUUUUGGCCUUGUGCAAUUGUGGAUUGGCAUGUUGUGCCUUGGUAGUGUGCUACUCACGGGGUAAGCUAGCUAGCAUGCAGCCCACCCAUGUCAAGUCCUCCAAGGUAAGGCCCGCCAAAGUGUAAUCUUCCUCGGGAUCUGGCUCCAUGGCUAAGCGGCUUUUAGAUAGGUUGGCCUAAUGCGUGGCACUCAUUUGUGCCUAGUUUAGACUUGCUGUGAGUGGGCGUUCCCCAUGUAUAUGUCCUUGUGGUGCAUAGCCCCUCAUCUUUGGGCUGUGUAGUGCGCUGCCCAUGUAAAGUCUAUAAGUUUAUAGGUCUAGUACGCGGGUGCUGAUGGUGUGCAGCCCAUGCGCAUUACUGAUGUCAUGCGACCCAUGUGCACGGGCUCCUUGUGUUGCAUACCCCAUUCGGGUUUCUGUUACGAGGCCCAUUAUUGCUAGGCUGAUGUGCACGCAGCCCCCUCAUGCAAGGUUGUAGUAUGUUAGACUUAGAUAUGCGUUGCCCCUUACUGUGGGGCCCUGUGUUACGUGGCUUCCCUACGUGCUAACGUUUGUUGUGGGGUUGUGUGCUAUACUACCCUUGUGGCCCAAGUCCGUUGAUGCAUCUAGCACAUGGAUUUACGGAAUGCACAUCUCGUGCAUAUGUGUGGGCUUGGUGCGCUGUGCUGGCAUGUUGUGCUUGUCGAAUUGCUCCAGGUUGUGCUGCUUGCUAGCCUGUGUGCUAUUGUUGUAGCCUGACCACCUUGAUGCUGGGGUUGUUUGGGAACCUCUUGUCGAGGUUUUCCUGCUUGUACUCCUCGAUAAACUUUUUGCAUUAAUCAUGAUUGUGAGCUAGAUAGCAGACAUACGUGCUUCUGGGUCGAUAAUGGCAGGUUGGAUUGGUCAUGGAUCUGCGGACCGUAACAUAGUAACAAAGCCCCCUAUAUCUGUAGGUAACAAGAUAAGCAUACUGCAUACAACGCAGAAAGAGAACUCCAGUAUACUAAGGAUCAAAAUAACAACCAACCCGAAAAUAUUAGUCCCUUCACUAAUUCUUGUGUUCAAGGAACAUCUCUAAACAAUGAUAGAUGAAAAACUAGCUGAUUACAAACAACAAAUCCUAUACUCAUUGGACACCACCUUUCGCAAGACUAUCAACUAUGUCACUUAGUGACAAACUUAAAAUUUUGCAUGAAAAGUGAUUAAAGACUCAACAUACAAGAUCAUGGAUUAGGUCAAUGAUUUGAUUUGGAGCAAAACUUCAGCAUUUUUCAAAUAAAAUUAAUUUAUAACAUAAAACUGAGGGAUUGCAUUUGCCACCUCGUCACCACCUUUUUGUCUACCCCUAAUGUCAUUAGCAAUUCUAAAGAUGUGGAAAAUGUGUCAAAGCUUAUGUUUUAAUUUAGUAUUGUGCAUCUGAUAAAUAUUUAAUACCAAAAUUGUAUUUUUAACAUAACACUACCUCUUAAUUGGACUGCCUAGUUGAACUAGUUGUAUGUAUUGGGAACCAACUCCUCCACUAGUUUAACCUUUGCUUCAAUUAUUAAAAUAUUAAUGGACAUUUAUAAUCUAAUGCAACUUCAUUUUUGCAUUUAGAGAUAUUAUAGUAAGACUUUUGUAAAUUAAUACCUUUGGGAUCAUGAAAAUUUAUUAAUCAAUUGAGAUAUUAUUUUAUCAAUAAAUUAAUACACUACCAACAAAAAAGCUUUUUCCGACAAAAUUUUUUGUUGGAAAAAGUUAAAAUUCCGUUUGAAAUGCCUUUUUCUGACGGAUUUUCAACAAAAAAGUUUGUUGAAAAUUCUGUCGGUAAAAGCCUCGUCGAAAAAACAAUCCGUUGGAAAUCUGUUGAAAAUUUCCAACGGAAAAAUUCGUUGGAAAAACACAUAAUCCGUCAACUGUAUCGUAGAUUUUCAAUGGAAUUCCAUUGAAAAUUUUCGAUGAAAUUUUUUGUUGGUGAUGUAUUUCUAAUGGAAUUUUCCAUUGGUGAUGUAUUUCCAAUAGAAAUUCCUUCACUAAUUUUCAAUGAAAUGUUUUAUUGGUAAUGCCUUUCCAACGAAAACUACCAAUUAAAAUUUCAAUAAUAAAUUAUCAAUUGACAUCCACAAUUAACAUUUAAAAUUUAUAAGAGAAACACACAUUAAAAACUAAAAUUCAAAGACAAAUUCAUACAAUUAAAAAUCGUCAUAAACAUACAAUACCUAAAAAUGUCAAACAUAUAUGAAUAUAAAGCUAAUGUGCUAUUACAUGCCCAUACUAAAAAAGCAUCCAAAUUUAACAACAAAAAAGAGACAUCAUAUCAUGAAAUGUUACGUUUUUACUUGUCAAGAUUUGAAGUUGAAUUACCCGCAUUUCCUUGUUUCGAAAGCGCAUUAGUCACAAUCAUUGUUUCCUUACGUGCCAUAAAUUCACUCCUGCUUUCUACCAUUGCAUUCUUAAUUUCUUCACGUAUUUCCUCACGUAUCUUACCCAAGUUUUUUUAUAUAUUUUUCACUUUUUCUUCCAAUGCAAUUACAGGAUUGGUAGUGUUUGAGUUGAUAAGGCCACACCCUGACUCAAAUGUUGCUACAUUGCUGUGUGUUCCACUAAGUAAAGAUGUAACAAGCACUCGAGUACCAAACCCAUACACGUGAGUGCUUUUAGUCUUCAUCUCUCCAAUUACUUCAGUCCAAAUAUGUAGAUCGAAUUCUGGCUGAGAUUUGAUUUUAAUAAGUGGUCGGUGACUUUUUAUUUCAAUGGUGGCCUAACAUUUUCUCAGAGAAUCACAUGAUCAUCAAGUAAUCAUAAAAUGCCCGAUCACAAUCACCAAUCCAACCCCCUCCCCC